AAUGAGCAGCACUUUACUCAAAUGCUUCUUCUGCCGUUAACGUUGUGUUCCAUUUAGCUUUUAUGUUGGAUGUUGGAGCUGGGAAUAACUUCACACCUGAGUUGACAACGUUCUGUUAAAAUAACUGUACAAAAUAUGUCGAAAAAAUGUCUUAUCCUAUAAGUGAAACUUGCACCUGUACAUAACUAGCUAUUAUUGAGGUGUAUAUGAAGCACUGUGGAACAGGGUCAUGAAAAACCUGGAAAAGUCAAGGAACUUGAAAAUAGUCAUUUUCAGGCCUGGAUAAGUUUUGGAAAAAAAACAAAAAAAAAAAAAACAAAGUCAAAUUUACUCUUUGUGAUCUUUGUGUUUCCAUUUAUUGACUCUGUUUAUCGACUCCGUUUAUCGACUCUGUUUAUCGACUGAGAAAAGCUAUUUAAAAAAUAAUUUCAUAACUUGAUUGGAGUUUCAGAUGGAAUAUAACUGUAAAUUCACAGAGAAAAAUCUAGGUGUUUAGGCUGUAAUUAAGCUCUUGCUCUCUUCCACUCUUUGGGAAGCAUAUUGGUUAUAUAUGCAAGUAAAUUACCAGUAAUGGUGACAAGAAGGCAACAUUUAAACAGAUGCAUUUAAAAGCUGUUAAAAAAUAAAGAAUCUACACAAUAUAGACACAACCUAAACAUAUUCCCUGACAGCCAGAUAUAUGCCAAAUUAGUUUAUUUAAAAAUUGAUUCUGUUCAAAGUUUUAAACAGAAGAUUCUAUAUCAUGUUUGAUGAAAGUGUGAAAUACUGUUUACAGGUUAAACAUUAGAAAUGUUUAUCAGUGUUUGAAAUGGGCCUGAGCUGAUUAAUACAUCAGUGCAGAGUGAAGUAAUUUAGCCCUACAUUAUGGAGCGCUCAGAAUUUGACACAUUUUAUUAUUGAAGAUUGUGUCUUAGCAUUGCUUAGAUAAAUGUUUUUUUUAUUAUUAUUUAAAUAUAUUUAAUGUAAAUAUAGGCCUACUAUAAUCAGUUUUGAUAUACAUUCUUGUCUACUCUGAUGUUUUAAACACGCUAUGGUCAUUAAAAUGUGCUGCGAAAGCAUAGAAAAGGCACAGAAAAUAAUUUAAAUUUAUAGGUUAACACUAUUUGUAAUCUACAUGUGUAUAAAUAUUUUACCCUUGUUUUCUUUUUUUCCAGAGGGAAUUAUAAAAUAAGCUAAAGACUUUCAUGUUUACUACAACUUAAUUAUUAAUCAUGUACCAGUGUUUUAUAGCAAAUGUAACCAAAAAAUGUCCCACAUUAUAUGUCCCAGGUUAUAAUUUUUUGCAUUGUCAGCGAUACCAGACGCACAUUCACACACUCAAUGGAAACAUGAACAGCUAGACGUGCUAAUGAAACGUAAAAUACUACUGCUUUUACUGCUGUUGAUGUUUGGUGCAGCCAUCUUGCGUUCUGAACUUGUAGGUUUAUUCCAGUUGAAAUGUUCUACUUAGAACUUGGAAAUUUCCAGUUCUGAAUUCCUACUUCAGAUGGAAUGCAGUAUAAGGAUUCACAUUAGAGCUCGACCCAUCCUGCCCCAUACACUGUCAUUUUGAGCCAAAGCCCGAAUUAAACCUGACAUUUUUUGACCAACCCACUCGUUAGGACUCCCCCUAUCACUAGUAAUGCCCCAACACACCAGGAGGAUGAAGACUAGCACACUCUUUCUCCGAUACAUGUGAAGUCAGCCACCGCUUCUUUUCGAGCUGCUGCUGAUGCAGCAUUGCCAAGCAGCCAGCACAUUUGGAGGAAAGCGCAGCGGCAGGUGAACCCGAGGAACCUGAGGAAAGUGGUGGGAAAUCUCGAGCCAGGUCAGACCUUGGGUUGGGUUUGGGCAGAGAACCUAAGCUCUUAUUCACAUAUUGAACUUUGUGUUAUUGUGUUCUCAGUGACAUGUUGAACUACACUGCCAGUUUGAGGGAAUGUCAUUGCCAUCCACUGCAAAGGAGGCAAAGGUGUGGGAAAGGGCAAUGGCAGUGAUCUGAAGGUGCGGAUCAUAGUGAAAAGAGAGCAGGUGUUCCAGUGUGUCUGUGCCACGCAGACGAACUGUAGGCUGUUCCCAGAUACUGAAAACAAUGCCGUGGUGAUCAGCUUUCAGGAAGGGCCAGUGGUUUGUGGUGAUGUUAAGGUCAUGUUUGAAUCCAGGGCUGGUCUUCCAAAGGGGUAUGAGGACUAUCCUUUCUAUUUCUGGUUCAACACUUCAUUUGUAGAGAACAACAGGCUCUAUCUGUCAAGGGAGGAACUGGACAACCCACGUAAGUCCAAAACCUGGGACAUCUACAAGGAGGACUUUGGUGUGACCGUGUCUUUCAGUGACCCUGCACUUAUGUAGCAGACGACACUUGCUUGUGUAUCUCAACUAAAACCCUUAAGCCCUGCACAAGGUCUAAAUCUUUGCUCUAAUGUAGGUUUUCACACACUUAUAAAAGGUGAGUGAUGUUUAGGGAUUGGAUUCGGGCAUAUUGUGCCCCUAAAGCUAUAGCUAUAUAACCUCAACUUUAUGUCCAUCCCCCAUCUUCACUGUAAGAGCUUUUUACUGAGCCGUGCAUACAUCACAAUAUUAUGCAUUUGUUUGUCAAAUGUUUUUUUGUCUUUAAAUGAAGACAAAUGUUUGUGUCAGUUUAGCAUAUUAUGCUUCCAAAAUGUAAAUCUUACUCUUUAAGCUUGAGUGUACAUCAAAUAAAGCAAUCGAGGCUGCCACUGUGAAAUGGUCAAUGGUUAUGUGUGCAGAAACAUUUUUUUGUAGUACACAUGUAUUGAAAUAAAUACUAAUGUCUCUGUAA